CCUACGGGUGGCAGCAGUGGGGGAUAUUGCACAAUGGGGGAAACCCUGAUGCAGCGACGCCGCGUGAGUGAAGAAGUAUUUCGGUAUGUUAAGCCCUAUCAGCAGGGAAGAAAAUGACAGUACCUGACCAAGAAGCCCCGGCUCACUACGUGCCAGCAGCCGUGGCACUACGUAGGGGGCAAGCGUUAUCCGGAUUUACUGGGGGUAAAGGGAGCGUAGACGGUUAUGUAAGUCUGGAGGGAACGGCCGGGGCCCAACCCCGGGACUGCCGUUGAAACUGUGUAACUGGAGUACAGGAGGGGCAGGCGGAAUUCGUGGUGUAGCGGUGAAAUGCGUAGAUAUCAGGAGGAACACCGGCGGCGAAGGCGGCCUGCUGGACUGACACUGACGUUGAGGCUCGAAAGCGUGGGGAGCAAACAGGAUUAGAUACCCUGGUAGUC
rnacentral:rRNA from 1 species